CCAUCAAUCCCAGACUGAAGCUCUGAGAACUGUAGUUUGGCUGUCUGCAGCUCCUGGGGGCAGGGAGAACCAGGUGGGAAGAGGGAGCUCCAGUACCCUGAAGAACUGAGAAGAUACUCCAUCUAUAUCGUGGCAGCUAACCCCUUACUUAGACCGAUUAUCCACUACCCAUUAGACAUCUUUCUCAUCCUUUCCAGUCCAAAGGAGAUUUUGCUCGGCAGAGAAAACAGCUCAGUUCCAGGAUGGUGACGUUUCCCGAACAUGUCCAUAUCAUCUAUAAUGUACUCCCACGCCAAAAUCGUCUGGUUCCUGGAUUACUACACAGGAGGAUGCCUUCUUAAUAUACAGUGCUUCUACGUCACAGUUUUACCUAGCUUGUUUGUUUUUUUUUUCUAUAAGGAAUACUAACU